rnacentral:rRNA from 1 species
CCUACGGGAGGCAGCAGUGGGGAAUAUUGGACAAUGGGGGCAACCCUGAUCCAGCCAUGCCGCGUGUGUGAAGAAGGCCCUCGGGUUGUAAAGCACUUUCAGUGAGGAAGAACGCCUGAUGGUUAAUACCCAUCAGGAAAGACAUCACUCACAGAAGAAGCACCGGCUAACUCCGUGCCAGCAGCCGCGGUAAUACGGAGGGUGCGAGCGUUAAUCGGAAUUACUGGGCGUAAAGCGCGCGUAGGUGGCUUGAUAAGCCGGUUGUGAAAGCCCCGGGCUCAACCUGGGAACGGCAUCCGGAACUGGCAAGCUAGAGUGCAGGAGAGGAAGGUAGAAUUCCCGGUGUAGCGGUGAAAUGCGUAGAGAUCUGGAGGAAUACCAGUGGCGAAGGCGGCCUUCUGGACUGACACUGACACUGAGGUGCGAAAGCGUGGGGAGCAAACAGGAUUAGAUACCCUAGUAGUC